UACGGAGGGUGCAAGCGUUAUCCGGAUUCACUGGGUUUAAAGGGUGCGUAGGUGGGCAGUUAAGUCAGUGGUGAAAUCUCCGGGCUCAACCCGGAAACUGCCAUUGAUACUAUCUGUCUUGAAUAUCGUGGAGGUAAGCGGAAUAUGUCAUGUAGCGGUGAAAUGCUUAGAUAUGACAUAGAACACCAAUUGCGAAAGGCAGCUUACUACCCGAAUAUUGACACUGAGGCACGAAAGCGUGGGGAUCAAACAGG
rnacentral:rRNA from 1 species